GACGAACGCUGGCGGCGUGCUUAACACAUGCAAGUCGAACGGAAAGGCCCUGCUUUUGUGGGGUGCUCGAGUGGCGAACGGGUGAGUAACACGUGAGUAACCUGCCCUUGACUUUGGGAUAACUUCAGGAAACUGGGGCUAAUACCGGAUAGGAGCUCCUGCUGCAUGGUGGGGGUUGGAAAGUUUCGGCGGUUGGGGAUGGACUCGCGGCUUAUCAGCUUGUUGGUGGUGUAGUGGCUUACCAAGGCUUUGCCGGGUAGCCGGCCUGAGAGGGUGACCGGCCACAUUGGGACUGAGAUACGGCCCAGACUGCUACGGGAGGCAGCAGUGGGGAAUAUUGCACAAUGGGCGGAAGCCUGAUGCAGCAACGCCGCGUGCGGGAUGACGGCCUGCGGGUUGUAAACCGCUUUCGCCUGUGACGAAGCGUGAGUGGCGGUAAUGGGUAAAGAAGCACCGGCUAACUACGUG
rnacentral:rRNA from 1 species